UCUAAGCCAUGCGAGUCAUUGUAGCAAUACAAGGCAGACGGCUCAGUAACGCGUAGUCAAUCUACCCUAUGGACGGGAAUAACCUCGGGAAACUGAGAAUAAUGCCCGAUAGAACAUUAUGCCUGGAAUGGUUUAUGUUUCAAAUGAUUUAUCGCCAUAGGAUGGGACUGCGGCCUAUCAGUUUGUUGGUGAGGUAAUGGCCCACCAAGACUAUUACAGGUACGGGCUCUGAGAGGAGUAGCCCGGAGAUGGGUACUGAGACACGGACCCAGGCCCUAUGGGGCGCAGCGGGCGAGAAAACUUUGCAAUGUGCGAAAGCACGACAAGGUUAAUCCGAGUGGUUUCUGCUAAAGAAACCUUUUGUCAGUCCUAGAAACACUGACGAAUAAGGGGUGGGCAAGUUCUGGUGUCAGCCGCCGCGGUAAAACCAGCACCUCAAGUGGUCAGGAUGAUUAUUGGGCCUAAAGCAUCCGUAGCUCGUUUUGUAAGUUUUCGGUUAAAUCCAUGCGCUUAACGUAUGGGCUGCCGGGAAUACUGCAUAACUAGGAAGUGGGAGAGGUAGACGGUACUCGGUAGGAAGGGGUAAAAUCCUUUGAUCUAUUGAUGACCACCUGUGGCGAAGGCGGUCUACCAGAACACGUUCGACGGUGAGGGAUGAAAGCUGGGGGAGCAAACCGGAUUAGAUACCCGGGUAGUCCCAGCUGUAAACUAUGCAAACUCAGUGAUGCAUUGGCUUGUGGCCAAUGCAGUGCUGCAGGGAAGCCGUUAAGUUUGCCGCCUGGGAAGUACGUACGCAAGUAUGAAACUUAAAGGAAUUGGCGGGGGAGCACCACAAGGGGUGAAGCYUGCSGUUCAAUUGGAGUCAACGCCAGAAAUCUUACCCGGAGAGACAGCAGAAUGAAGGUCAAGCUGAAGACUUUACCAGACAAGCUGAGAGGAGGUGCAUGGCCC
rnacentral:rRNA from 1 species